CCCCGACCUCGCCGAACGGCUGCGCCGGGAUCCCGCGAUGGUCACGCCGUUCAUGGAGGAGGUAUUGCGGUUCGAGUCCCCAUUCCGGGGCCA
rnacentral:tRNA from 1 species